AGCUAAAAAAUGUCUGUCAUCGGU
rnacentral:siRNA from 1 species